rnacentral:tRNA from 1 species
GAGGGUGUGGCUCAAGUGGUAGAGCACGCGCUUAGCAGGCACGAGGUCCUGGGUUCAAUCCCCGGUACCUCCA